GAUGAACGCUGGCGGCGUGCCUAAUACAUGCAAGUCGAGCGAACGGACGAGAAGCUUGCUUCUCUGAUGUUAGCGGCGGACGGGUGAGUAACACGUGGAUAACCUACCUAUAAGACUGGGAUAACUUCGGGAAACCGGAGCUAAUACCGGAUAAUAUUUUGAACCGCAUGGUUCAAAAGUGAAAGACGGUCUUGCUGUCACUAAUAGAUGGAUCCGCGCUGCAUUAGCUAGUUGGUAAGGUAACGGCUUACCAAGGCAACGAUGCAUAGCCGACCUGAGAGGGUGAUCGGCCACACUGGAACUGAGACACGGUCCAGACUCCUACGGGAGGCAGCAGUAGGGAAUCUUCCGCAAUGGGCGAAAGCCUGACGGAGCAACGCCGCGUGAGUGAUGAAGGUCUUCGGACCGUAAAACUCUGUUAUUAGGGAAGAACAUAUGUGUAAGUAACUGUGCACAUCUUGACGGUACCUAAUCAGAAAGCCACGGCUAACUACGUG
rnacentral:rRNA from 1 species